CAGCAGCCACGGUAAUACGAAGGGUGCAAGCGUUAAUCGGAAUUACUGGGCGUAAAGCGUGCGUAGGCGGUUUGUUAAGUCUGUUGUGAAAUCCCCGGGCUCAACCUGGGAAUGGCAAUGGAUACUGGCAAGCUAGAGUGUGUCAGAGGAUGGUGGAAUUCCCGGUGUAGCGGUGAAAUGCGUAGAGAUCGGGAGGAACAUCAGUGGCGAAGGCGGCCAUCUGGGACAACACUGACGCUGAGGCACGAAAGCGUGGGGAGCAAACAGGAUUAGAUACCCGCGUAGUCCCUGUCUCUUAUAU
rnacentral:rRNA from 1 species